GCUGUAAUUUAGCUACCUACACCUGCUUAGAAGGGAACACAGCUGGUUCACUGAGUGAUGAUGUGGCACAGCUGAGAGUUUGGGAGGAUUUUGCUGUUAGAGAGAAGGGAAUUGGAAAGGGUAUGUCUAAAGAAGAAGUAGAGAAUGAGAAUUUGUUCGUGUAAUUUAUUUAUUUAUUUAUUAGUAGGCUCUGUUUAAAGUCAGGUCCAGAGAAGGCUGCUGAUGUGAGGGACUCCUGCUACAGGUGAGAAAUCAGUGUUUGGCACUACAUGUUGGAAUGUGACUGAGCAGAAGACUUCGGCACUUAUUGCCUACUGGCAGAUGCAACAUAUUCAGGUCACACGAGUUUAUUCAGCACAGAGAUGACUUUUGAGUGAGAAUGCUCAAGAAUUAGAACCAGGGAACUGUGGAUUUGUUCUACCAGAACAUGAAUAUACACACCCUGGUAGCUGAUGUAAUGACAGGCUGAACUUAGCUAAUUUAUGGAAGCAGUGUUAUGGAUGGUUCUAGGAAAGAUGCCACCUUUCAGUAUGGUUGUUUUUCUUUUCUUACCUGUGAGAGUCUCCAAGUAAACUCUUGAUAACGUAGCUGCUGAGAUAUGGUGCUGCUCAGUUUUCCCUGCAGGGAGAUAUGAACCUUCUUUGCUGUAUGGUGGGGAAAACUCACAAAACCCUGGGAAGCUGCUGCUGCAGCAAAAUCCUCCUUCCUUAUGUCAGAGAAAUCUCUAUCAGAUACAUAAAAACUGGAGGCAUGAACCUAGCAUAAUCUAUCCCCACUUCUGGAGUUCACUUCUUUACUCUUCUUAUGUGUGUGAUGUGCAUUUUUUUUUUAAGUAGACAAUGUAUUUAUAGAUUUCUCCCCAAGAUUUAUUUUAGUUCAGUUACCCCAUUAAACAGCAGCUAUUGCCAUCAGCCCUUGAAAUAAACAUCCGAGAUAUAAAUGGA